UAAUUUGAGAAGGUUCUAUACUUAUAGGUUGUAAGCAUCUAGUUCUACCUUGCAUUAUUAAAUUACUAAUAAGUUCAUAAUAAGGGUUAAUAACUUUAGAGGGUGUAGUUUUCAUAUGAAUCUAUUCAAUAAUUCCAACAGUUUGCCAUAAGACGGCAGUAGUCACAUGAGGAGUUGGACAAAUUAUUAAGAAAAUUGGAAGGUCCCUGUUCGAGUGCCACUUGCCGCGGACCAGCCGGAGAAAGAGGAUCUCACCGCCCAGGGUCAGAAGGGAAGGGGACAUUUCAUCUUGACAAUCUGCACAUCUGGGAGAC